UGGAACCGGGGGGGGUGCUAAUACAUGCAGUCGAACGCGUUGGCCCAAUUGAUUGAUGGUGCUUGCACCUGAUUGAUUUUGGUCGCCAACGAGUGGCGGACGGGUGAGUAACACGUAGGUAACCUGCCCAGAAGCGGGGGACAACAUUUGGAAACAGAUGCUAAUACCGCAUAACAGCGUUGUUCGCAUGAACAACGCUUAAAAGAUGGCUUCUCGCUAUCACUUCUGGAUGGACCUGCGGUGCAUUAGCUUGUUGGUGGGGUAACGGCCUACCAAGGCGAUGAUGCAUAGCCGAGUUGAGAGACUGAUCGGCCACAAUGGGACUGAGACACGGCCCAUACUCCUACGGGAGGCAGCAGUAGGGAAUCUUCCACAAUGGGCGCAAGCCUGAUGGAGCAACACCGCGUGAGUGAAGAAGGGUUUCGGCUCGUAAAGCUCUGUUGUUAAAGAAGAACACGUAUGAGAGUAACUGUUCAUACGUUGACGGUAUUUAACCAGAAAGUCACGGCUAACUACGUGCCAGCAGCCGCGGUAAUACGUAGGUGGCAAGCGUUAUCCGGAUUUAUUGGGCGUAAAGAGAGUGCAGGCGGUUUUCUAAGUCUGAUGUGAAAGCCUUCGGCUUAACCGGAGAAGUGCAUCGGAAACUGGAUAACUUGAGUGCAGAAGAGGGUAGUGGAACUCCAUGUGUAGCGGUGGAAUGCGUAGAUAUAUGGAAGAACACCAGUGGCGAAGGCGGCUACCUGGUCUGCAACUGACGCUGAGACUCGAAAGCAUGGGUAGCGAACAGGAUUAGAUACCCUGGUAGUCCAUGCCGUAAACGAUGAGUGCUAGGUGUUGGAGGGUUUCCGCCCUUCAGUGCCGGAGCUAACGCAUUAAGCACUCCGCCUGGGGAGUACGACCGCAAGGUUGAAACUCAAAGGAAUUGACGGGGGCCCGCACAAGCGGUGGAGCAUGUGGUUUAAUUCGAAGCUACGCGAAGAACCUUACCAGGUCUUGACAUCUUGCGCCAACCCUAGAGAUAGGGCGUUUCCUUCGGGAACGCAAUGACAGGUGGUGCAUGGUCGUCGUCAGCUCGUGUCGUGAGAUGUUGGGUUAAGUCCCGCAACGAGCGCAACCCUUGUUACUAGUUGCCAGCAUUAAGUUGGGCACUCUAGUGAGACUGCCGGUGACAAACCGGAGGAAGGUGGGGACGACGUCAGAUCAUCAUGCCCCUUAUGACCUGGGCUACACACGUGCUACAAUGGACGGUACAACGAGUCGCGAACUCGCGAGGGCAAGCAAAUCUCUUAAAACCGUUCUCAGUUCGGACUGCAGGCUGCAACUCGCCUGCACGAAGUCGGAAUCGCUAGUAAUCGCGGAUCAGCAUGCCGCGGUGAAUACGUUCCCGGGCCUUGUACACACCGCCCGUCACACCAUGAGAGUUUGUAACACCCAAAGUCGGUGGGGUAACCUUUUAGGAGCCAGCCGCCUAAGGUGAACAGAAUU
rnacentral:rRNA from 1 species